rnacentral:pre_miRNA from 1 species
GUAGUUUUACCUCCAUCCCAAGAAUCUUGUCUUAGAUUUUUAUAGAUAAGAAUGUAUCUAGACACGUUUUAUUGUUAUACACAUCCAUAGUUAGACAAAUUUAAGACAACCUUUUUGGUAUGGAGGGAGUAGUAU